rnacentral:rRNA from 1 species
GACGAACGCUGGCGGCGUGCCUAAUACAUGCAAGUCGAGCGGAUGGAAGGAAGCUUGCGUCCUAAAGUCAGCGGUGGACGGGUGAGUAACACGUGGGCAACCUGCCCCUAAGAUCGGGAUAACUUCGGGAAACCGGAGCUAAUACCGGAUAUGAUUAUUUCACACAUGAGAGAUAAUGGAAAGUCGGUUUCGGCUGUCACUUAGGGAUGGGCCUGCGGCGCAUUAGCUAGUUGGUGAGGUAACGGCUCACCAAGGCGACGAUGCGUAGCCGACCUGAGAGGGUGAUCGGCCACACUGGGACUGAGACACGGCCCAGACUCCUACGGGAGGCAGCAGGAGGGAAUCUUCCGCAAUGGACGAAAGUCUGACGGAGCAACGCCGCGUGAGUGAAGAAGGUUUUCGGAUCGUAAAACUCUGUUGUUAGGGAAGAACAAGUACCAUAGUAACUGAUGGUACCUUGACGGUACCUAACCAGAAAGCCACGGCUAACUACGUGCCAGCCGCCGCAGUAAGAC